rnacentral:rRNA from 1 species
GAUGAACGCUAGCUACAGGCCUAACACAUGCAAGUCGAGGGGCAGCGGGAAGGAAGCUUGCUUUCUUCGCCGGCGACCGGCGCACGGGUGCGUAACGCGUAUCGAACCUACCCUUUACUCGGGAACAGCCUUGCGAAAGCAAGAUUAAUGCCCGAUGUUCCGCGUUUGCCGCAUGGCAAAUUCGGCAAAGAUUUAUUGGUAAAGGAUGGCGAUGCGUCCCAUUAGUUAGUUGGCGGGGUAACGGCCCACCAAGACGACGAUGGGUAGGGGUUCUGAGAGGAAGGUCCCCCACAUUGGAACUGAGAUACGGCCCAGACUCCUACGGGAGGCAGCAGUGGGGAAUAUUGGGCAAUGGGCGAAAGCCUGACCCAGCAAUGCCGCGUGAAGGAAGAAGGCCUUCGGGUUGUAAACUUCUUUUAGCAGGGACGAAGGAAGUGACGGUACCUGCAGAAUAAGCCACGGCUAACUACGUG